rnacentral:rRNA from 1 species
CCCUUAGAUGUUCUGGGCCACACGCGCGUUACACUGAUGAAGCCAGCGAGUAUAUCGCCUUCACCGGAAGGUGCGGGUAAUCUUGUGAAACUUCAUCGUGCUGGGGAUAGACCAUUGCAAUUAUUGGUCUUGAACGAGGAAUUCCUAGUAAGCAUGAGUCAUCAACUCGUGCUGUUUACGUCCCUGCCCUUUGUACACACCGCCCGUCGCUACUACCGAUUGAAUGGUUUAGUGAGAUCUCGGGAUUGGAGACGUUGCGCCGCAAGGCACAUCGUCCUCGAGAACUUGAUCAAACUUGAUCAUUUAGAGGAAGUAAAAGUCGUAACA